ensembl:lncRNA
GUUGUGUUUCUCUUUCAGAAGGCACAUGUCCCAGGUUCAGGGUGGAGAGAGGUAUCAGGCAGGGCUGCAGCAUCUCACCUCUUUUAUUCAUUGUAGCCACUGAAUUACUUGCUAUUACUGUCAUAAACUCAAACAUCAAAGGAUUAGACAUAAAUAAUCACAAAUUAAUAAUAAGUCAGCUUGCCGAUGAUACAACAGUCUUUCUAAAAAAAUAAAGAACAAAUUCCAUUGGCCUUAGAUACAAUAAAGAUCUUUUCUGAUGCUUCUGGACUACGCCUGAACCUGGACAAAUGUGAACUCAUGAGUAUCCACAAUUGUUCUCACUCUUCUUUGUAUGAUAUACCUGUCAAAAAUGAAAUCAAAUAUCUUGGAAUCUGGAUAACUAAAUGCAUGGCUGAUAGUGAAGAAAAGAAUAUUCAGAAUACAACUGACAAAUGCAAAAAAACUCUGAACCAUUGGCUACAGAGAGAUUUAACGUUGUUCGGCAGGAUAAUGUUGACCAAGGUUGAAUCUUUGUCCAGAUUAAUCUAUCCAGCUUAUUCCCUAGCCAUCCCACCAAGAAUUAUAAAAGACAUCAAUAAGGUGAAUUUUAAUUUCAUAUGGAAAAAUAAACAUCAUUAUGUUAGUAACAGGGACUUGAUAAAAGAUUAUGAAGAGGGGGGUUUAAAAGCAAUCGAUUUUGAAAUAAUGAAUGGCAUUUUAAAGAUUAAUUGGCUACGAUCUUUCUUGAAAAAUGAUAAUGAGAUCUGGUUCUUGAUACCAUCUCUUAUUUUCAACAAAGUUGGGGGGAUCCAAUUCCUUUUAGUAUGUGAUUUUGAAAUUUCUAAACUACCCAUAAAACUUUCCAAAUUUCAUCAACAAGUUUUGUUAAAUUGGAAAUUAAUGUUUAAACAUAACUUUAGUCCCCACAAUGUUCCAUUGUGGAAUAAUAGGGUGAUAUUGAAUCGGGGGAAAUCUAUGUUUGUGGAAGAAUGGAUGACAAAACAAAUUUGGUCUGUGACACAUAUAAUGGAUGAAAAUGGAGAUAUACUUGAAUUAAACAGGCUUAAUGAGAAAUAUGACAUGAGUUGCUCGUUCGAGCUCUAUAAAAAGGUUUCACAAAAUAUCCCAACAGUCCUUGUAAAUACGGUAAAGAACAAUUUUUCAAAUAUACAGACUCCAAAUUUGCAUAAAGUUAAACUAGAUGGUCUUGAAUUGGUCAAUGGAAAAUGCAAUAAUCAGUUUUUGAGGAGGUAUUUGGUUAACACCUUAUAUCCAGGUAGGACAAAACAUUCACUCGUCUUUAAAGAUUAUAACAAAUCUGAGAUCUCGUUGAUCAGAACCAAAUAUUUAAAAUUUCCAAUUCCCC